AAUCACUUGUCUUUUAAAUGAAGACCCGUAUGAAAGGCUUGACGAAGGCUUAACUGUCUCCUCUUUCCAGUCAAUGAAACUGAUCUCCCCGUGCAGACGCGGGGAUAAAAACAUAAGACGAGAAGACCCUAUGGAGCUUUAGACACAAAGACAGACUAUUUUAAACACCCCUAAACAAGCACUAAAUCCAGUAAGAACCUGUCCCCGUCUUAGGUUGGGGCGACCCUGGGGAAAUACAAAACCCCCAUGUGGAGGGAGGACCUACCACUUAGACCCUCUUAAAAACCCGAAACACAAUUCUAAUUAACAGAACCUCUGACCAAAUUGAUCCGGCCAAAGCCGAUUAACGAAACAAGUUACCCUAGGGAUAACAGCGCUAUCCCCUUUUAAAGUCCA
rnacentral:rRNA from 1 species